rnacentral:rRNA from 1 species
UACGGAGGAAGCAAGCGUUAUCCGGAAUUACUGGGCGUAAAGAGUUGCGUAGGUGGCAAAGUGUGUCAGUAGUGAAAGAGUGUGGCUCAACCAUAUAAACAUUACUGAAAACUGCUUAGCUAGGGGGACGAGAGAGGUUAUUGGAAUUCCCAGUGUAGGAGUGAAAUCCGUAGAUAUUGGGAGGAACACCGAUGGCGUAGGCAGAUAACUGGCUCGUUCCUGACACUAAGGCACGAAAGCGUGGGGAGCAAACGGG